rnacentral:siRNA from 1 species
AUCUUUUUUUUGUCUAAAAGA